rnacentral:rRNA from 1 species
CGGUGUUUAACUGGCGUGAUGUGGGACGUCCUACCGGUGGGCUUAGCCUCGCGAGGGGCGGCCCAACUAAUAUCCCGUCGCGGUGCUCUUUACUGAGUGUCGAGUCGGGCCGGUACGUUUACUUUGAACAAAUUAGAGUGCUUAAAGCAGGCUAUCCUCGCCUGAAUACUGCGUGCAUGGAAUAAUGGAAUAGGACCUCGGUUCUAUUUUGUUGGUUUUCGGAACCCCGAGGUAAUGAUUAAUAGGGACAGAUGGGGGCAUUCGUAUUGCGACGUUAGAGGUGAAAUUCUUGGAUCGUCGCAAGACGGACAGAAGCGAAAGCAUUUGCCAAAAAUGUUUUCAUUAAUCAAGAACGAAAGUUAGAGGUUCGAAGGCGAUCAGAUACCGCCCUAGUUCUAACCAUAAACGAUGCCAGCUAGCGAUCCGCCGAAGUUCCUCCGAUGACUCGGCGGGCAGCUUCCGGGAAACCAAAGCUUUUGGGUUCCGGGGGAAGUAUGGUUGCAAAGCUGAAACUUAAAGGAAUUGACGGAAGGGCACCACCAGGAGUGGAGCCUGCGGCUUAAUUUGACUCAACACGGGAAACCUCACCAGGCCCAGACACCGGAAGGAUUGACAGAUUGAUAGCUCUUUUUUGAUUCGGUGGGUGGUGGUGCAUGGCCGUUCUUAGUUGGUGGAGCGAUUUGUCUGGUUAAUUCCGAUAACGAACGAGACUCUAGCCUGCUAAAUAGGCGUACCUUAUGGUAUCGCGAAGGCCCCCGGCUUCGGCCGGUGGGUUUUUACUACCAACGUACAAACAAAUCUUCUUAGAGGGACAGGCGG